rnacentral:tRNA from 1 species
GGCGGCUUAGCUCAGUUGGUUAGAGCAACGGAAUCAUAAUCCGUGAGUCCCCGGUUCGAGUCCGGGAGCCGCUACCA